rnacentral:ncRNA from 1 species
AAUAUAUUUGAUUAUAGUAUGAUAAAUUAAUUUUAUUUUUUAAUUAAAUGUGAAUUUUUAUGUAAUUUUAUUUUCUAAAUGAUUAAAUUUUGUUUGCAAUUUUUAUUUUUAUAUAUUCAAGGGAUUGAGAUUUAGAAAAUAAUAAUUUGAUUUAUAAAAAGUUGUGCCAGCAUAUGCGGUUAUACCUCUAAAUUCUAAUUAAUUCCUUUGAUUGUUCAUUAAUUAUUAAAUUUUUAGGAUUGAAAUUAUUUUAUUAGGUGAAAUUUUAAUAUGAAAGUUCUUUAGGUAUAUAUUAUGUUAAAAUAAAUUUUAUAAACUAGGAUUAGAUACCCUAUUAUUUUUAUUAUAAUUAUAUAUUCUUAUUAAUAUUAGCUAUUUCUUUAAAUUAAUAUAGUUUGGCGGUGAUUAAUCUUUUCAGAGGAACCUGUCUUUUUUAAUCGAUAAUCCACGAUUGGUUUUACUUUAAUUUAUGCUUGUAUAUCUCUGUCAUUGAAUGUUUAUAUAUAAUACUUUCUUUUAUUAAAUUUAUUUAAUAAAUGUCAAGUCAAGGUGCAGUAUAUUUAAGUUUAAGAUGGGUUACAUUUAAAUUAUUAAUAGGAUUGAAACUUUUAAUUUUUUUGUAAAAUAGGAUUUGAAUGUAAAUUUUAUUUAAUAUUAAAUUUGAUUAUUGCUCUAUAUCAUGUACAUAUCGCCCGUCACUCUCAUCUUUAAAAUGAGAUAAGUCGUAACAAAGUAAUCUUAUUGGAAAUUGAGAUUGGAAUAACA